UGCUCGGGUGCGUCCGGAGCGGGUGCCGUUGUCGUUGGCGCAGCAGCGGAUGUGGUUUUUGUCGCGGUUUGAUGCUGUGUCGGGUGU
rnacentral:tRNA from 2 species